rnacentral:rRNA from 1 species
UACGUAGGGUGCAAGCGUGAAUCGGAAUUACUGGGCGUAAAGCGUGCGCAGGCGGUUGUGCAAGACAGAUGUGAAAUCCCCGGGCUCAACCUGGGAAUUGCAUUUGUGACUGCACGGCUAGAGUGUGUCAGAGGGGGGUAGAAUUCCACGUGUAGCAGUGAAAUGCGUAGAGAUGUGGAGGAAUACCGAUGGCGAAGGCAGCCCCCUGGGAUAACACUGACGCUCAUGCACGAAAGCGUGGGGAGCAAACAGG